UACGUAGGGUGCGAGCGUUAAUCGGAAUUACUGGGCGUAAAGCGUGCGCAGGCGGUCUGUUAAGACAGAUGUGAAAUCCCCGGGCUCAACCUGGGGAAUGGCAAUGGAGACUGCAAGGCUAGAGUUUGGCAGAGGGGGGGUAGAAUUCCACGUGUAGCAGUGAAAUGCGUAGAUAUGUGGAGGAACACCGAUGGCGAAGGCAGCCCCCUGGGUCAAAACUGACGCUCAUGCACGAAAGCGUGGGGAGCAAACAGG
rnacentral:rRNA from 1 species